rnacentral:rRNA from 1 species
UACGUAGGGUGCGAGCGUUAAUCGGAAUUACUGGGCGUAAAGCGUGCGCCGGCGGUUCGUUAAGUCAGAUGUGAAAGCCCCGGGCUCAACCUGGGAACUGCAUUUGAAACUGGCGGGCUUGAGUAUGGCAGAGGGGGGUGGAAUUCCGCGUGUAGCAGUGAAAUGCGUAGAGAUGCGGAGGAACACCGAUGGCGAAGGCAGCCCCCUGGGCCAAUACUGACGCUCAGGCACGAAAGCGUGGGGAGCAAACAGG